UCGGGAAUUUUGGGCAAUGGGCGAAAGCCUGACCCAGCAACGCCGCGUGAAGGAUGAAGUAUUUCGGUAUGUAAACUUCGAAAGAAUAGGAAGAAUAAAUGACGGUACUAUUUGUAAGGUCCGGCUAACUACGUGCCAGCAGCCGCGGUAAUACGUAGGGACCAAGCGUUGUCCGGAUUUAUUGGGUUUAAAGGGUGCGUAGGCGGUUUAUUAAGUCAGUGGUGAAAGACGGUCGCUCAACGAUUGCAGUGCCAUUGAUACUGGUAGACUUGAGUAUGAUUGAGGUAGCUGGAAUGGAUAGUGUAGCGGUGAAAUGCAUAGAUAUUAUCCAGAACACCAAUUGCGUAGGCAAGUUACUAAGUCAUAACUGACGCUGAGGCACGAAAGUGUGGGUAUCAAACAGGAUUAGAUACCCCGGUAGUCCCUGAGCGGGCUGGCAAGGCGCAU
rnacentral:rRNA from 1 species